UACGGAAGGCAGCAGUGGGGAAUAUUGCACAAUGGGCGCAAGCCUGAUGCAGCCAUGCCGCGUGUAUGAAAAAGGCCUUCGGGUUGUAAAGUACUUUCAGUCGUGAGGAAGGUGUUAAGGUUAAUAACCUUAGCAAUUGACGUUAGCGACAGAAGAAGCACCGGCUAACUCCGUGCCAGCAGCCGCGGUAAUACGGAGGGUGCGAGCGUUAAUCGGAAUUACUGGGCGUAAAGGGCACGCAGGCGGUUAAUUAAGUUGGAUGUGAAAUCCCCGGGCUUAACCUGAGAAUGGCAUUCAAGACUGGUUAGCUAGAGUCUUGUAGAGGGGGUAGAAUUCCAUGUGUAGCGGUGAAAUGCGUAGAGAUGUGGAGGAAUACCGGUGGCGAAGGCGGCCCCUGGACAAAGACUGACGCUCAUGUGCGAAAGCGUGGGGAGCAAAC
rnacentral:rRNA from 1 species